GGGCCAGUAGUUCAGUUAGGGAGAACGCCUGCUUUGCAAGCAGGAUGUCGUGGGUUCGAUUCCCACCUGUGUCCACCA
rnacentral:tRNA from 1 species